ACUCACACUCACCCUCACACAAGCAUACACUCCAUGGCUGGAUGUUAUCAAAAGACACCAUGGAUUGAUGUGGAGAGUGUGGCCCCACACCCCAUCAGCCUCAUCUCUGACCUGUGAUGGCUACACAAGGAAAUAGACCCCAAGCAAGUCCAGCCAGGCCCUCUGGGCAGACAGAGAUGCAGAUGUGGGGGCAGCAGUUCACGAUGUCGGGAGAAAGCUGCCUUGGAUGGCGCCUGGUCAGGACCUUUCUGAGUCAGUCUCCGCAGACUCUACAUCACCAGCAGAUCAGCUUCGGCGGGAAUCCUGGGGCAGUAAACUGCAGUGAGCUCAACAUCAGGAACUUCAAGCAGCAAGGGACACUCACUGGUCCAGCGUCCUCUGCGUCCUGCUUCUCCUGCAUCAUGUGACCUCACAUGCCACAAACUGAAGCCCACAGCUCACAGGGGAUGGAGCAGGCAUGGUUUCAGCCUCUCUGACCCUAAAGUCACUGAUGCACCACUUCCCUCCCCAGGUGGGGAAGGAGGGACUGGACAUUGUGGGUCCAUUGGUCUAUGAGGACAAGGGGCCAGGGCUCCUGGAGAGAUAGCUAACUCUGGGGCUGGAGCAGGAAACACACAGACAGGUUUGCAGGAUCUGAAUGGAAGCAGGCCCUUCAGGCGACCCUGUGAUAGGAGAGUCAAGACCAUCUUCACCGUAGAGGCAGCAGCAAGAGUCUGGGAGCUUCCAGCCACCUUUGAUUGCAGUUAAUGCACUGACCUUGUUCGAUUUCAAACCCCUGCUUGGUGCAAAAGCGGCUCUUCUGAGACGAUGGGCUUUUAAUGAUCA
ensembl:lncRNA